GAUGAAGAACGCAGCGAAAUGCGAUAAGUAAUGUGAAUUGCAGAAUUCAGUGAAUCAUCGAAUCUUUGAACGCACAUUGCGCCCGCCAGUAUUCUGGCGGGCAUGCCUGUUCGAGCGUCAUUUCAACCAUCAAGCCCCAGGCUUGUGUUGGGGACCUGCGGCUGCCGCAGGCCCUGAAAACCAGUGGCGGGCUCGCUGUCACACCGGGCGUAGUAGAUUUUAUCUCGCUCAGGGCGUGCUGCGGGUUCCGGCCGUUAAAAAGCCUUUUUUACCCAAGGUUGACCUCGGAUCAGGUAGGAAGACCCGCUGAACUUAAGCAUAUCAAUAAGCGGGA
rnacentral:misc_RNA from 1 species